rnacentral:rRNA from 1 species
ACUAACGCUGUCGGCGUGCCUAACACAUGCAAGUCGUACGAGAAAGUUGGCUUCGGCCGAUGAGUAAAGUGGCGCACGGGUGAGUAACGCGUGGAUAAUCUACCCCUCAGUUGGGAAUAACUCAUCGAAAGGUGGGCUAAUACCGAAUAAUACUGCAUGACUUCUGUUGUGUAGUCAAAGAUGGCCUCUGCUUGCAAGCUAUCGCUGAAGGAUGAGUCCGCGUACCAUUAGCUAGUUGGUAGGGUAAUGGCCUACCAAGGCAACGAUGGUUAGCUGGUCUGAGAGGAUGAUCAGCCACACUGGAACUGAGACACGGUCCAGACUCCUACGGGAGGCAGCAGUGAGGAAUAUUGCGCAAUGGGGGCAACCCUGACGCAGCAACGCCGCGUGAGUGAGGAAGGUUUUCGGACCGUAAAGCUCUGUCGAGCGGGAAGAAAUGCAUAGUGGCUAAUAUCCAUUAUGCUUGACGGUACCGCUAAAGGAAGCACCGGCUAACUCCGUGCCAGCAGCCGCGGUAAUACGGGGGGUGCUAGCGUUGUUCGGAAUCAUUGGGCGUAAAGAGCGUGUAGGCGGCUGGAUAAGUCAGAUGUGAAAGCCCUGGGCUUAACCCAGGAAGUGCAUUUGAAACUGUUCAGCUUGAGUAAGGGAGAGGAAAGUGGAAUUCCUGGUGUAGAGGUGAAAUUCGUAGAUAUCAGGAGGAACACCGGUGGCGAAGGCGACUUUCUGGCCCUAUACUGACGCUGAGACGCGAGAGCGUGGGUAGCAAACAGGAUUAGAUACCCUGGUAGUCCACGCUGUAAACGAUGUUCACUAGGUGUUGG